CCCUUAGAUGUUCUGGGCUGCACGCGCGCUACACUGACCAGUGCAACAAGCAUCCGUCCUUGGCCGACAGGCCCGGGCAAUCUUUGAACGCUGGUCGUGAUGGGGAUAGACUUUUGCAAUUUUUGGUCUUCAACGAGGAAUUCCUAGUAAACGCAAGUCAUCAACUUGCAUUGAUUACGUCCCUGCCCUUUGUACACACCGCCCGUCGCACCUACCGAUUGAAUGGUCCGGUGAAGCCUCCGGAUUGGCGCGCACCUCGGUGCCGCCGAGAAGUUGGCUAAACCUUACCAUUUAGAGGAAGGUGAAGUCGUANCA
rnacentral:rRNA from 1 species